GCGCAGAUGCCCGAGCGGUCCAAGGGGGUAGACUCAAGUUCUACUAUGGGUUUCCAUGCGGGGGUUCGAAUCCCCCUCUGCGUA
rfam:Gregarina niphandrodes unplaced genomic scaffold scaffold00035, whole genome shotgun sequence.